GACCCGGUAGCUCAGUUGGUAGAGCAACGGACUUUUAAUCCGUAGGUCGUGGGAUCGUUCCCCACCCGGGUCA
rnacentral:tRNA from 1 species